rnacentral:tRNA from 1 species
AUAGGUAUAGCUCAGUGGUAGAGCGCAUGCUUAGCAUGCACGAGGUCCUGGGUUCAAUCCCCAGUACCUACA